ACUUUUAAAGGUUAGAAAUAAUCUAUUGGUCUUAGGAACCAAAGAUAUUGGUGCAACUCCAAAUAAAAGUA
rnacentral:tRNA from 1 species